AGUGAACGCUGGCGGUAGGCCUAACACAUGCAAGUCGAACGGCAGCACAGUAAGAGCUUGCUCUUACGGGUGGCGAGUGGCGGACGGGUGAGGAAUACAUCGGAAUCUACUUUUUCGUGGGGGAUAACGUAGGGAAACUUACGCUAAUGCCGCAUACGACCUACGGGUGAAAGCAGGGGAUCUUCGGACCUUGCGCGAUUGAAUGAGCCGAUGUCGGAUUAGCUAGUUGGCGGGGUAAAGGCCCACCAAGGCGACGAUCCGUAGCUGGUCUGAGAGGAUGAUCAGCCACACUGGAACUGAGACACGGUCCAGACUCCUACGGGAGGCAGCAGUGGGGAAUAUUGGACAAUGGGCGCAAGCCUGAUCUAGCCAUACCGCGUGGGUGAAGAAGGCCUUCGGGUUGUAAAGCCCUUUUGUUGGGAAAGAAAAGCAGCAGGUUAAUACCCCGCUGUUCUGACGGUACCCAAAGAAUAAGCACCGGCUAACUUCGUG
rnacentral:rRNA from 1 species